rnacentral:rRNA from 1 species
CCUACGGGUGGCAGCAGUAGGUAAUAUUGCUCAAUGGGGGACACCCUGAACCAGCCAAGCCGCGUGAGGGAUGAAGGUACAGAGUAUCGUAAACCUCUUUUGUCAGGGAACAAAGGCGGGGACGUGUCCCCGGAUGAGUGUACCUGAAGAAAAAGCAUCGGCUAACUCCGUGCCAGCAGCCGCGGUAAUACGGAGGAUGCGAGCGUUAUCCGGAUUUAUUGGGUUUAAAGGGUGCGCAGGCGGUCUGUUAAGUCAGCGGUAAAAGCCCGGGGCUCAACCCCGGCCCGCCGUUGAAACUGGCAGUCUCGAGUUGGAGAGAAGUAUGCGGAAUGCGCGGUGUAGCGGUGAAAUGCAUAGAUAUCGCGCAGAACUCCGAUUGCGAAGGCAGCAUGCCGGCUCCACACUGACGCUGAGGCACGAAAGCGUGGGUAUCGAACAGGAUUAGAUACCCCAGUAGUC